GAUGAACGCUGGCGGCGUGCCUAAUACAUGCAAGUCGAGCGAACAGACGAGGAGCUUGCUCCUCUGACGUUAGCGGCGGACGGGUGAGUAACACGUGGAUAACCUACCUAUAAGACUGGGAUAACUUCGGGAAACCGGAGCUAAUACCGGAUAAUAUAUUGAACCGCAUGGUUCAAUAGUGAAAGACGGUUUUGCUGUCACUUAUAGAUGGAUCCGCGCCGCAUUAGCUAGUUGGUAAGGUAACGGCUUACCAAGGCAACGAUGCGUAGCCGACCUGAGAGGGUGAUCGGCCACACUGGAGCGGAGACACGGUCCAGACUCCUAAGGGAGGCAGCAGUAGGGAAUCUUCCGCAAUGGGCGAAAGCCUGACGGAGCAACGCCGCGUGAGUGAUGAAGGUCUUCGGAUCGUAAAACUCUGUUAUUAGGGAAGAACAAAUGUGUAAGUAACUAUGCACGUCUUGACGGUACCUAAUCAGAAAGCCACGGCUAACUACGUG
rnacentral:rRNA from 1 species